rnacentral:rRNA from 1 species
AUUGAACGCUGGCGGCAGGCCUAACACAUGCAAGUCGAGCGCGUGGCGGAGGGGUGAGUAAUGUGUGGGAAACUGCCUGAGGGAGGGGUAUAACCACUGAAAACGGUAGCUAAUACCGCAUACUAUAGGAUGUGCCCAUAUGGGAUUAGCUAGUAGGUGGGGUAAAGUCGCACCUAGGCGACGAUCCCUAGCUGGUCUGAGAGGAUGACCAGCCACAAUGGAACUGAGACACGGUCCAGAAUCCUACGGGAGGCAGCAGUGGGGAAUAUUGCACAAUGGGCGCAAGCCUGAUGCAGCCAUGCCGCGUGUGUGAAGAAGGCCUUCGGGUUGUAAAGUACUUUCAGCGGGGAGGCGUUACCCGCAGAAGAAGCACCGGCUAACUCCGUGCCAGCAGCCGCGGUAAUAC